rnacentral:rRNA from 1 species
GCUUGUCUCAAAGAUUAAGCCAUGCAUGUCUAAGUAUAAGCAUUAUACAGUGAAACUGCGAAUGGCUCAUUAUAUCAGUUAUAGUUUAUUUGAUAGUCAACUCUACUUGGAUAACCGUAGUAAUUCUAGAGCUAAUACAUGCGUCAAAGGGGCUUUACGGCUUCUGUAUUUAUUAGAUGGAAACCAAUGCGGGGCAACCCGGUAUAUGGUGAUUCAUAAUAACUUUCGGAUCGAUCUUCGGAUCGAUGCAUCAUUCAAGUUUCUGCCCUAUCAGCUUUGGAUGGUAGGGUAUUGGCCUACCAUGGCUUUAACGGGUAACGGAGAAUUAGGGUUCGAUUCCGGAGAGGGAGCCUGAGAAAUGGCUACCACAUCCAAGGAAGGCAGCAGG